rnacentral:rRNA from 1 species
CCUACGGGUGGCAGCAGUGGGGAAUAUUGCGCAAUGGGCGAAAGCCUGACGCAGCGACGCCGCGUGAGGGAUGAAGGUCUUCGGAUCGUAAACCUCUGUCAGCAGGGAAGAACGGUCACUGUGCUAAUCAGCAGUGAAUUGACGGUACCUGCAAAGGAAGCACCGGCUAACUCCGUGCCAGCAGCCGCGGUAAUACGGAGGGUGCGAGCGUUAAUCGGAAUUACUGGGCGUAAAGCGCUCGUAGGCGGUAUGUCAAGUCAAGGGUGAAAUCCCCGCGCUCAACGUGGGAACUGCCUUUGAAACUGGCAAACUGGAGUGUGUGAGAGGAUAGUGGAAUUCCAGGUGUAGGAGUGAAAUGCGUAGAUAUUGGGAGGAACAUCAGUGGCGAAGGCGACUAUCUGGCACAUAACUGACGCUGAGGAGCGAAAGCGUGGGUAGCAAACAGGAUUAGAUACCCUUGUAGUC